rnacentral:rRNA from 1 species
CAGCACCGCGGUAAUACGAAGGGUGCAAGCGUUAAUCGGAAUUACUGGGCGUAAAGCGUGCGUAGGCGGUUUGUUAAGUCUGUUGUGAAAUCCCCGGGCUCAACCUGGGAAUGGCAAUGGAUACUGGCAAGCUAGAGUGUGUCAGAGGAUGGUGGAAUUCCCGGUGUAGCGGUGAAAUGCGUAGAGAUCGGGAGGAACAUCAGUGGCGAAGGUGGCCAUCUGGGACAACACUGACGCUGAGGCACGAAAGCGUGGGGAGCAAACAGGAUUAGAUACCCGAGUAGUCCCUGUCUCUUAUACA